UCACUCCAGAGAGCGCAUCACUCCACUUUGGCUCGUAAUUUCAACCUCCCUUAAAAUAGCAAAGGCGCAAAUUGGACCUUUUCCCUCUCUCUUUGCCAAUUUCCAUUCUGCAACGGAAGAGGGGGUAUUUUCUGAAAAGCUGCUGCAGGUGUCAAGAAUAGUACACCUCUUGGAAAUUCUACAUUCAUGGCAUUCCUGCAUCCCUGGCCCUGAACUCCAGGAGCAAAGUUGUACAAAGGAACUGGAUGCUGCAAUACACAAAGAAGACCUCAGACUCCCACCAAAGCUUCCCUGGGUCUGCUAAAUCUGUGGAAUAGGACCUACUCCCUGCUGGGGGCAGGCUUACAGGGGUGUGCCAACGUCUGAUGCCUCUUGAACUGCAGAUGUGACCCACCAUUUUCUUAGUGGAGAUUGCUUGAGUAGUCUCCACAUGAAGGAAUUUCUCCUAGAUUUCUGUCCAUUUGAACAAGCGAGGAGAGCAGUGAACAGUUUGUCUGAGGUGAGGGUAAGGGAUGUUAAAUACAAUUCUAGAAGCAGUUUUAAAGGAGGUUUCUGGGAAGACUAUUUGGAAAUGGGACAAGGCUUGAGAUGCUUGAGAAAAGCAAGUUGAAGGAACAGGUUUAGGACCACAGUAUGGGGCAGAAGCAGGGCAAAACAGAGGACCUCUAUCUCAAAAAGAGGCUGUAGGGGAAAAGGCAAAGAAUUCUUCAUGCGACUAAAGUCAUUCUUCACAGUCUUUUGAGGAUUCCAAAAGUAUUGAAUUUUAAGGAUUUGAUGAGAUUAAAUUCUUUGGAGGAAAGGGAAUCGAGACACCAUAUUUCAUGGAGAGAUGGCGAAACAUAAAGGGUUUUCAGUCCCCACCCCAGCCCCAUACAUAAACUCUAGGUUCAAAAUUGAUGCAGCAAGGCUAUUUGUUUUUUAGAGAAAAGGAUCUGGGGCUGCCUUUUCACGGAGGACAGAUUAUCAGAUCCAUCUUCGGAGAACUCAAGUUUAUCCUAAUCAACUCCAAAGUUGCCUUAAAUUCCGCAGCUUA